GAUGAACGCUGGCGGCGUGCCUAAUACAUGCAAGUCGAGCGAACAGACGAGGAGCUUGCUCCUCUGACGUUAGCGGCGGACGGGUGAGUAACACGUGGAUAACCUACCUAUAAGACUGGGAUAACUUCGGGAAACCGGAGCUAAUCCCGGAUAAUAUAUUGAACCGCAUGGUUCAAUAGUGAAAGACGGUUUUGCUGUCACUUAUAGAUGGAUCCGCGCCGCAUUAGCUAGUUGGUAAGGUAACGGCUUACCAAGGCAACGAUGCGUAGCCGACCUGAGAGGGUGAUCGGCCACACUGGAGCUGAGACACGGUCCAGACUCCUACGGGAGGCAGCAGUAGGGAAUCUUCCGCAAUGGGCGAAAGCCUGACGGAGCAACGCCGCGUGAGUGAUGAAGGUCUUCGGAUCGUAAAACUCUGUUAUUAGGGAAGAACAAAUGUGUAAGUAACUAUGCACGUCUUGACGGUACCUAAUCAGAAAGCCACGGCUAACUACGUG
rnacentral:rRNA from 1 species